rnacentral:rRNA from 1 species
AUUGAACGCUGGCGGCAGGCUUAACACAUGCAAGUCGAGCGGGGAAGGGUAGCUUGCUACCUAACCUAGCGGCGGACGGGUGAGUAAUGCUUAGGAAUCUGCCUAUUAGUGGGGGACAACAUUCCGAAAGGAAUGCUAAUACCGCAUACGCCCUACGGGGGAAAGCAGGGGAUCUUCGGACCUUGUGCUAAUAGAUGAGCCUAAGUCAGAUUAGCUAGUUGGUGGGGUAAAGGCCUACCAAGGCGACGAUCUGUAGCGGGUCUGAGAGGAUGAUCCGCCACACUGGGACUGAGACACGGCCCAGACUCCUACGGGAGGCAGCAGUGGGGAAUAUUGGACAAUGGGCGCAAGCCUGAUCCAGCCAUGCCGCGUGUGUGAAGAAGGCCUUUUGGUUGUAAAGCACUUUAAGCGAGGAGGAGGAUUAGUUGGUUAAGAGCUGAUUAAUUGGACGUUACCCAUAGAAGAAGCACCGGCUAACUCCGUGCCAGCAGCCGCGGUAACAC